CAAGCUUAUCCCGGCUCAUGACUAUCAUAGUCUGGCACUCCAACAAACUUCUACAACUCCUAUCUAAUUGCUCUUGAUUUCCAUAUUUGAAUCGUAAUUGUGUAAAUAACUGCUUUUAAUAACUAAAUCAAUCAUCCAACUUCUUGAACUGACUAUUCUAUGGACUAUUAGUCUAUUUUAUCAAUAUCUUACAAAAACAAACUAAUAUCUAUUCUACAUAGCCCUACUCCUAACUAUACAGCGUCCUCGCAAACACACAAUUAAUUCCUAUCUAAAAACUAUUUAACAAAACUCUACAAAGUUAUUAUUUCUUUUGGCCCACCCAAUUGAUCAUUUGUUGCAUUAUCAAAUGUAGGUUCUACUGAAUUUGGUUCUAUAUGCAAAUCUUCUUCCUCGUCUAAUCCUUCCAUCGACUCCUUUCUCAACUGGUUUUAUAGAUCUUCAUUAUACUCUCCCAAUUCACUAAUUUGAGCCUCCAAUUUCAAGAUCUGAACAUCCCAAAGUUCUAACUAAUGUUGCUGUUGACUCAUCCAUUCUAGAACAUCUUCAAUUGACAUUUGUGACCGGCUCCUCACUAUUAACUCUUAAUUGGAACUACUACUCUCGAAUAUAUAAGAAAUACAAGAAAUGGCACCCCAACC
rnacentral:lncRNA from 1 species